GGUGAGAUGGCCGAGUUGGUUAUGGCGUCAGGUUAAGGUUAUACCUUGGCAUACCAAGAUUCCUGAUGGAGAAAUCCGCCUGGGUUCGAGUCCCAGUCUCAUCA